AAAAAAAAUCACAGGAAUUAAGAGUGCAAAUGGUUUUGCCCUGCUCAAGAAAGGAGCCACUUUUUACUCAAAGGAAUGUGGUUUGGCCACAUCUCUUCAAGGAAUCAUAGCAUCUCUGUGGUUUCUAUGAACACUAAUGUUUUCAGGGUAUCUGCUGUGAAAAUCGUGCAUCCAUGAGUACUGAAGCUCUCUGGCAAUCCCUGGAGCUUUUACAGAGCCAUGGAAAUGAGCCUGAGAUGGG